CCCCCUAGUGCUUCAGCUGUGGUGGAGGAGAACUGAGGAAUAAAACAACAAAAGCAAAAAAACGGAGACUAUAGCGCAACCAACACCAAGGCAGCAUUUAACCCAGGGGGUGGCACAGAGGACUGGAGAAUUCAUACGGCAAGAAGGGGGUGAUUUUUCACAGAGAGCUGUGUCUGCGCAGAGCCACGCACCAAGGCGCAGUUGGGAGCCAGGAUCUCCUUUUCCUUUUCAUUCAUUCUCUCCGACGCUGGGAGCGAGCCUACGCAGCCAGCCUCCCCCGCUUCCCAGUAAUGCAGGCUCCCGUGUGUGGCCAUGCUUCCCCGCUCAGGACCCAAAAGCAUGCUGGAUGUCACCCCACUCUUCACGCCGUAGGAUAAGUGCCAGCAGCACCCCUGCCAGGUUGAGCGAGCAUUAUGGCCAUGGGUCCCACGGUCAUAACUAUUGAGGAGGUGCGGGCGCUGGAGAGCAAGGAAGAGCAGGAGGAGUCCAUUUUGGCCUUGCUGGGCAUCGUUGGCACCUUCCUCAACCUCUUUGUCAUCGUCUUUGUUUACAUAUACACUGUCGUGUGACUUAAGCCAGAGUUGGAGUGAUCCUUCAAACGACAAGGCACAAACCAAGUUUUCUAAAUCAACAUAUACUGGACUUGAAAUCCAGAGCUCCUCCUCCCAUUAACUUUAUACUAGUUAAAAACGACAUGAGCAGUUUCCCAACACAGAGAGUGAGGGUGGACAGUUACGUGGAGGAGACGUCUCACAGCCACAAACCAGGGAGAUAACAGUGAGCUGGUGGCUACAUCAGGACCAUAGCUGUGCUGGAUCUGCAUCCAGGAUGGGCAGACAGACACUGGCCCAGCCCCAGCCAGGGUUCACUUUCUCAGGCUACAGGCCAGCACAGCCUGCAGUGGAACAUCACCUUGGACUCAUUGGCGUGAUGAGGGAAACAGUGUUACUGACAAAUCUCCUUUGUCAAAUGGAUUAUAAAAACGGAAUAAGGGACACUGAUGUCACUGGCCUGGAUGGUUCAAGGAGCAUGGCGUGGAGGAGGCAGUGUAUGCAAAGAACACUGGGAAGCCAUUACAGAUGAACUGUACCUCACCAUAUCACAUUGGUAAUCUUCCGGGUACAGCAUUUUAAACUGCUUGGUGGGAUGUCACAGCGCACGUUACCCCGGCAAUGUGGCUCUGGAGGAGCUUUAAUGUAAUGUGCUGCUUGCCGUCAGAUAGGCCACACACGCGCCCGCACACACACACACACCCCCCCAAAACCAAAGGGUUAGUCACUGCUUCUCAUGAUUUGACAGAUCACAACAGAGCGAUCUCUAUUGUCUUUAUCUCGCUCCCGGCAAGAACUGAUCUGCGAGGAGGGCAGGAGUGGCAAUGACUAGGAAACAUUUCUAUUCCAAUUGACCACCUGGGACUUCAAAACCAAACUGGAGAUCUGCAAUAAAAAGGGAAGUGGAGAGAAAGACGACAGGAGAGCCUGCGGUGGCGAUGAAAUCAUCCACAGGAGUGGAAAGGACCUUGUGGGCGCCAGAAAGAAAAGCUCUAUUCUGCAUUUACUAAAACAUAAGGCCUGACUUACACCGUCUCUUUCUGCAUAUUUUUCCACGCUCUGUUCGGUUAUUGGAGGGGGGGGGGGGGGGGGACUGACGUAUUUGUUCAUGUUGAUUUCAGGGUAGUGUCAGUAAUCCUGUUUCUGUAUAAAAAAUGUAAAGCUUUUAUAAAUAUAUGGAUAAACUCUAGAUGUACUGUGCUAUAGGGAAAUUGUAAACAAUAAAGUUAGAAUGUAGGAAUUGGA